GACGAACGCUGGCGGCGUGCUUAACACAUGCAAGUCGAGCGGUAAGGCCCUUUCGGGGGUACACGAGCGGCGAACGGGUGAGUAACACGUGGGUGACCUGCCCUUAGCUCUGGGAUAAGCCUGGGAAACUGGGUCUAAUACCGGAUAUGACUCCAUGACGCAUGUUGUGGGGUGGAAAGCCUUGUGCGGCUAGGGAUGGGCCCGCGGCCUAUCAGCUUGUUGGUGGGGUGAUGGCCACCAAGGCGACGACGAGUAGCCGGCCUGAGAGGGCGACCGGCCACACUGGGACUGAGACACGGCCCAGACUCCUACGGGAGGCAGCAGUGGGGAAUCUUGCGCAAUGGGCGAAAGCCUGACGCAGCGACGCCGCGUGGGGAUGACGGCCUCGG
rnacentral:rRNA from 1 species